rnacentral:rRNA from 1 species
UUACCUGGCCUUGACAUACUAAGAACUUUCCAGAGAUGGAGUUGGUGCCUUCGGGAACUUAGAUACAGGUGCUGCAUGGCUGUCGUCAGCUCGUGUCGUGAGAUGUUGGGUUUAAGUCCCGCAACGAGCGCAACCCUUUUUCCUUAUUUGCCAGCGGGUUAAGCCGGGAACUUUAAGGAUACUGCCAGUGACAAACUGGAGGAAGGCGGGGACGACGUCAAGUCAUCAUGGCCCUUACGGCCAGGGCUACACACGUGCUACAAUGGUCGGUACAAAGGGUUGCUACCUCGCGAGAGGAUGCUAAUCUCAAAAAGCCGAUCGUAGUCCGGAUCGCAGUCUGCAACUCGACUGCGUGAAGUCGGAAUCGCUAGUAAUCGCGGAUCAGAAUGCCGCGGUGAAUACGUUCCCGGGCCUUGUACACACCGCCCGUCACACCAUGGGAGUUUGUUGCACCAGAAGUAGGUAGUCUAACCGCAAGGAGGACGCUUACCACGGUGUGGCCGAUGACUGGGGUGAAGUCGUAACAAGGUAGGCGUAGAUGA